rnacentral:rRNA from 1 species
ACCUCCUACGGGGGGCAGCAGUGGGGAAUAUUGGGCAAUGGGCGCAAGCCUGACCCAGCAACGCCGCGUGAAGGAAGAAGUAUUUCGGUAUGUAAAGCUCUAUCAGCAGGGAAGAAAAUGACGGUACCUGACUAAGAAGCCCCGGCUAACUACGUGCCAGCAGCCGCGGUAAUACGUAGGGGGCAAGCGUUAUCCGGAUUUACUGGGUGUAAAGGGAGCGCAGACGGCUGUGCAAGUCUGGAGUGAAAGGCGGGGGCCCAACCCCCGGACCGCUCUGGAAACUG